AAUGGAGUCUUUUUCCCCUGAAGGAUGUUUCAGAAAGAGAAAUUGAGGGCCUCUGGAAAGCCAGGGAGAGCUAGGCCACAGCGUGCAUGGAUUAUUCACAUGGGCCAGGUCACCUCGCUCGAGUCUCAGCAAUCGGAAGGAUCAGGCCCCACAAACAGCCCUCAUGCAGCCGCUGAAGAGUCACAGAGGACAUUUAUGGAGGACUCCUCUAGUUGUCCCCUCCCCCAAUAGGUCACAGGCUCUCCAAAAGCAGGGACCAUAGGCGGAAGGGGCACUGGUUGGGGGAGCCAGGGAGACCUGACUUCCAGCAUGCCUACUUUCCAGCUAUGAAAUGUUGGGAAAGUUCCUUGACACUGAGUUCGGG